rnacentral:lncRNA from 1 species
AUUUUUCAUGAGUUCUCCAGGAAAGGGACAGGGAUUUCCCUGAACUGAGGGUUCCUCCCCUUUUCAGACCACAUUGGGUAAUUCUGGACAUUGCGAUGAUAUCUGUAAACUUUGAUGGUGCUGGUGGGAGUGACGGCAUUUUCAGCAUGCUAAUGCUUUAUAAUUAGCACGUAAGAAGCAGUGUGGAUGACUAGAGGUUACUUUCAUUGUUGUCUUGGUUUUGGUUGGUUUGGGGCCAACUUCUCUAUCGCAUUCUGUUUUCUCAGCAGGGUCUUUGUGACCUGUAUCUUGAGCUGACCUCCUAUCUCAUCCUGUGACUAAGAAUGCCUGACCUCCUUGGAAUGCAGCCCAGCAGGUCUUAGCCCCAUUUCAACCAGCCCCUUUUCAAGAUGGAGUCACUCUGGUUCAAAUGCCUCUGACACUAGCAAGAACAAAUUUCAAUGAAGCAUUGAGUCAAUGGCAGUUUAUCAUUCCUUGUAACAUUCAAGUAGAUAAUUUUGGAAGUGGAUGCUUUAGUCUACUCUGUUUACUCAAAACAUACUUCCUGGGAAGUUCAAACUGAUAUACUUUUGUCUCAAUAAAUUCUCUUGUGGGGCAAAUCCACCUGAAAUGAUUGCCUUGUCCUUUGAGUUCCAAUUUUGAAAACUUCUCAAAACAUAUCAUUGCUGUAUGGAGAUACUUGAAUUCCUCAACGCAGGCCCCAUUUUGAUCUUUUCUUCGUUCCAUCGAGGAAAUCUUAAAGACACAUAAGCUCAGUGUGGCACUCCAGCUUCAUUUAUCACCGAGAGCUCAGCGUGGCUGUGGCUGUCAACUAAAGGAUACUUAAAGCCUUAGAAGUCAGUCUCGACUCAAGGAUGCAACUUCCUUCCUAUAACUCCAGCCCUGCUCUGUGUUUUAUGGACCAGGUCUCUUGGCACCAGGUGCUUAUUGAAAAUGCAGACUCCAGAACCCACUCCAGGACUCCCGAAUCACAGAAUUUUCACAAGCUCCCUAGGGUCGUGGUUCCUGAGGAGGAGAACUGCAGUUUCAGCAUUGCCUCCACAUUCAGCAUGGGGUGCUCAGAACCUUCCAAUAUGCGAGGCAGGCUAGUCAAUUAGGGGAGAAAGCUUAUCUCUUUAAAGCAAGUUAAGUGAAUGUUUGUUUCUUUAAAAAAAAAAUCAAACUGCCAAACUAUUUUCUGAGUGGCUGUACCAUUCUACGCUUCCACCAGCAAUGAAGAGUAAUCCAAUUUCGCCACAUUCCCACCAACAUUUAAAACUGUGGGGAUUCUGAUAGGUUUGUAGUGAUGUCUCAUUACGGUUUUUGGUUUUCUGGGUUUUGGUUUUGGUUUUUGAGACAAGGUCUUGCUCUGUCUCCUAGGCUGGAGUGCAGGGGUACAAUCUCAGCACGCGAUAGCCUCCACCGCCCGAGCUCAAGUGAUCCUGCCAACACAGUCUCCUGAGUAGCUGGGACUAUAGAUACAUGCCAUUAUGCUGGGCUAAUUUUCUUUUCAUUUACUUUUUUAAAGACAAGUUCUCAGUAUGUUGCCCAGGCUGGUCUUGAACUCCUGGACUAAAGUGAUUCUCCCACCUUGGCCUCCCAAACUGCUGGGAUUACAGGCAUGAGCCACUGUGCUCAGCCUUCAUUAUAGUUUUAAUUUGCUCUUUCUUAAUAUUUAAUGAUGUUGAAUAUCUUUUCAUGUGCUUACUUUCCAUUUCUAUCUUCUUUAGUGAAAUGUUCGUUCUUUAGUGAAAUGUUUUACCCAUUUUUUAAUUGGAUUUUUUUGGUUUGUUUUUAUUUACUAUUGAAUUUUUAGCCCUCUUUAUAUAUUCUAGAUAAAAAGUGUUUGUUGGAUAUGAGGUUUGCCAGGAUUUCCUCCCAGUCUGUAGCUUGUCUUUUCAUCCUCUUCACAGGGCCUUUUCCAGAACAAAACUUUUUAAUUUUGAUAAAGCCAAUUUAUCAAUUUGUCUUUUUAUGAAUUGUGCUUUUGGUUUCUAGUGUAAAAACUCAGCCUAGCCUUAGGUUCUAUAAAUUUUAUCUUAUAUUUUAUUCUAAAAGUUUUAUAGUUUUACACUUAGCAUUUACAUCUGUGAUCCACUUUCAGUUUUCUUUUGUAUGAGGCAUAAGGUUUGCGUUGAGGGUCACUGUUUUCCCUAUAGCUGUCCACUUGUUCCAGCACCACUGUUCAAAAGGCCAUCAUCCACCCAUUGAAUUGCUUUUGCAACUUUGUCAAAAAUCAACUGGUGGCCAAGUGCGGUGGCUCAUGCCUGUAAUACCAGAACUUUGGGAGGCCAAGGCAAGUGGAUUGCUUGAGCUCAGGAGUUUGAGACCAGCCUGACCAACAUGAUAAAACCCCGUCUGUACUAAAAAUUCAAAAAUUAGCCAGGUGUGGUGGCACAUGCCUGUAAUCCCAGAUUCUUGGCAGGCUGAGGCACGAGAUUUGCUUGAACCUGAGAGACAGAGGUAGCAGUGAGCCGAGAUCAAGCCAUUGCACUCCAGCCUGGGUGACAGAGCAAGACUCUGUCUCAAAAAAAAAAAAAAAAAAAAUCAGCUGGCCAUGUUGGUAUGGGUACAUUUUUGGGCUCUUUAUUUCAUUACGUUGAUCUAACCCUUCUUACUAACACAAGAUUUUGAUUGCCAUGCCUAUAUAAUAAGCUUCAACAUCAGGUAGAUUCCUGCUAUUUAAUUUCUUUUUUAAAAAAAAAUUGUUUCAGCUAUUCUAAGUUCUUUGUCAUUUCCUACAAAUUUUACCAUAAGCUUGUUCAUGCUUAUAAAAAAAACCUUGCUGAAAUUUUGCUAGAUCACAUUGGAAACCAACAUCUUUACUAUAUUGACUCUUUGGGCCCAUGAAUAUGGUAAGUCUUUCCAUUUAUUUAGGUCUUCUUUGACAUUCUUUCAUCAACAUUUCAUAAUUUCUGCAUAUAAAUACUAUAGAUGUUUUGUUAGAUUUUGCCUAAGUAUACAUUUCCUUUGGAGCCAUUGUAAAUCAUACUAUGUUUUUAACUUUUAUUUCCACAUAUACAAACGUAAUUUGUUUUUAUAUGUUGAUCUUAUGUCUAUGACCUUGCUCUCAGAAGUUUUUUGUAGAUUUCUUGGGAUUUUCUACUUCUAGAAUUAUUUUAUUUGUAAAUAG